rnacentral:lncRNA from 1 species
UUAAAUCGAAAAUUUAGUGAAUUUGAAUGUGAUUAUUUACAUGAGUAAAGGUAUGAACAUAGAUAUCAAUAACCUAAGAAAUUAUAAAAAAUUUAAAUAAAAUAGUAAGCAUAAAAAAUAAAAAUAUGGAGGUAUGCUACUCCCAAGUAUCAAAUCCAUCCUACUAUAGAAAGUGAAACUGCUCUCUCCCCACUAGGCCACUU